rnacentral:rRNA from 1 species
GAUGAACGCUGGCGGCGUGCCUAAUACAUGCAAGUCGAGCGAAUGGAUUAAGAGCUUGCUCUUAUGAAGUUAGCGGCGGACGGGUGAGUAACACGUGGGUAACCUGCCCAUAAGACUGGGAUAACUCCGGGAAACCGGGGCUAAUACCGGAUAACAUUUUGAACCGCAUGGUUCGAAAUUGAAAGGCGGCUUCGGCUGUCACUUAUGGAUGGACCCGCGUCGCAUUAGCUAGUUGGUGAGGUAACGGCUCACCAAGGCAACGAGGCGUAGCCUACCUGAGAGGGGGAGCGGCCACACUGGGACUGAGACACGGCCCAGACUCCUACGGGAGGCAGCAGUAGGGAAUCUUCCGCAAUGGACGAAAGUCUGACGGAGCAACGCCGCGUGAGUGAUGAAGGCUUUCGGGUCGUAAAACUCUGUUGUUAGGGAAGAACAAGUGCUAGUUGAAUAAGCUGGCACCUUGACGGUACCUAACCAGAAAGCCACGGCUAACUACGUGCCAGCAGCCGCAGUAA